rnacentral:hammerhead_ribozyme from 1 species
GUCCGGCUGAUGAGUCCCAAAUAGGACGAAACGCGCAUCAAACUGGAU